UACAGAGGUCCCAAGCGUUGUUCGGAUUCACUGGGCGUAGAGGGUGCGUAGGUGGUGAGGUAAGUCGGAUGUGAAAGCUCCGAGCUCAACUCGGAAAUGGCAUUGGAAACUACCUUGCUAGAGGGUUUGAGGGGGGACUGGAAUACUUGGUGUAGCAGUGAAAUGCGUAGAUAUCAAGUAGAACACCAGUGGCGAAGGCGAGUCCCUGGAAAACUCCUGACACUGAGGCACGAAAGCUAGGGGAGCAAACAGG
rnacentral:rRNA from 1 species